CAUUUUUUUUUUUUUUUUUUGCUAAUGCUCAAAACAUUUGAUGUUUUUUUUUGCUUCUUUUUCAUACUUUUACUUAUUCUAUGCAGAUCGUUGUUUCAUUACAACAUGUUUCUGAAUUGUGAUAGUAUUAUGUGUAUAGUUUCAGAAGGGUAUAUUGAUUACUUUAGAUACAUUUAUAUUGGUAUACAUUUUUUUUCCAGUGCUUGAAUGCUGUUGAUUUUUUUUAUUAAUAUGUAUUUGACUUGUUUCAGUCAAGUAUUGGUCAGUUGUAUUGUUUCUGUUAAUUAUGUUACUUCUUAAGCAUAAUCUAAACUAGCAUUUGUUAGUUGAUAAUUGUUUGCAUCAAUCAAAUGAAACCUCUGAUGUAACUUAUCUGAACAUAUCAUGUUGUGAUUGUAUUAAAAGGUUUUAGAUGAAGAAGAGUGGGACCUAGUCUCCAGUAAAAUCUGAGGGUUAUUUAAGUACAGUAUAUUUUUAAAGUAAAUAAUUGUUUCAUUUUCAUGUAAGUCUUUGUAUGUUACUAAUGUUUUAAGAGAUGAAAUGUGAUCAUCUUAAUUAAUGUGAAUGCAUGUCUUGUCCAGGGACAUUAAUACUAAUGUUUGGAAAAGGUUUGUAAAUUUGACAUUUAUACAGAUACUCAGCUAGUUUCUUGACUGCUGCCAUGUCAAGUGGGCUCAUUAGUAUUGGGGUGGAUAAAUAUUAAAUUGUUAUUCAUUUCAAAAUUUUUUAUUAGAAACACUAAGAUACAAUGGAUUGACUCUUGAUUUUAUUUUAGAAUGUGAUACCUAUGAAAAUUUAAAAGACCUAAUCAGUCCUUGAAUGUUUCAAUAUUCUGGAACCUAAAUUCUAUUUGAACUGUGUGAGAUAAUGAACCAGGUUUAAAACUUAUUAUUAGAUGUUAUGCAAAUAUUUUAUUAUUUAUAUUAGUAAUACAAAGUGUGACUUAAUUGUGCAACUUUAAUAAAAAUAAACCUAAAAAAAAAGGUUUUGAAAAAAAUCAAGUGUUUUCUUCACUCUUAACAACUAAUGUAUGAUCAAUUUUAAAAAAGGACAUUUAUAAUCCCCCCUUCCUUUCUGAAAACAUUCUGACUAUGCCCAUUUUUAGAUUUACUCAAGAGUAUAAAAGAUUCUGUUUUGAUGAUAUAGAUCACAUCAAUAGACAGUAGUGUAGACUAGAAUACUGGAUCAAGUUAGACCAGCUAAUUUGUACACUUGAAGGACUAUUUAUUUAUUCAACUUUUUAUUGAAUUAUAUUCAAACACAUUUUGGUCUUGGAAAUUCCCACUAUUACAUGUUCAAAAUUGACAAAAUUUAAUUUGAAGAUGAUUGUAUUUUGAAAAAUUAUAAGGGUCAAACCAGAUUUUUCACUGUGUUGUCAAUUAGGUUUUAUUAUUUCCCAAAGAUGUACUGUCAAAUUUCUAGGAAAAUUGUUAGAGCCAUUUUUUGACAUCUGUGUCCAUCCACCCAUGAAGGGUUUGCAAGCUCAUAAGAGGAAUUGUAAGGACAUUGUCUCAGAAAAUUUUUUUUUAGUCCACUAGGACUUAAACACGUGUAUGAAAAACUUCUGUUCAUUCUAGGAUUUGUAACACUUGUGUUGAAAACUUCUGUUCAGACAUGAUGUGAACAUGUGUGUUAAAUACUUCUGUUGAAACUAGAACAUUUUGUGAAAUAUUGGGGUUGUUAUCUUAACCUUUGUCUUAAUGGGCAGUCUGUAUUUAGAUUUAUAUAUCAUUAUGUGUGUAGUAAUUCACUAUUGGUUCUUGUAGAUAACAUCUAACUUCAUAAUAUUAAACAGGUCUCUCUGUUGUUCAAAAUAAGUAUUUGUUAUGUCAGAUAUAAUGUGACAUCAGUUUGUACACAACUCAUAUAACACUUGUUCUUAAUGCUAUAAAGGGGCCUGUAAAUGGGCUAAUUUGUCGAGAAAAAAAAAAUGCUGAAACUACUGUAACCAUAUAUACUUUCAGUGCUACACUUUUCCUCGUAACAGUUUUAUGUGCCCUUAAUUAAUAAUGUACUUUUCCAAGUAAGCUUGCCAUGUUGUAUUCAUGUGAUACAUUGAAAUACAGGUGAUCAUUUGGAUUUAACUUUCAAUGUGUAAUUGUUUGUAAUGAAUUACUGGCAUGAAGAAAAUGCUAAUGAGUGCUUGGCUACACUUUAUUUUCAUAGUCAGUUUGUAUUUAUUUUCUCCUGACUUAAUGGCAUUGUUUAAAGUUUAUUUAUAAAAUAACUUGAAAAAGUUUUAUCAAGAGGAACACAAAGGAUUUUUACAAUUCUGACCACUUCAGUGACAAAAUAAAAAUGUGUAACUCUGAUGUAACCUUUUUUUUUGUAAUUGUUAGGUUUGAAGAAGAAUUGAUAAAAUAACAUAUUUUAGUCUUUUUUUUUUCUAAAUGAAAUAAUUAAACCACUUAAUUAAACU